rnacentral:rRNA from 1 species
UACGAAGGGGGCUAGCGUUGCUCGGAAUCACUGGGCGUAAAGGGUGCGUAGGCGGGUCUUUCAGUCAGGGGUGAAAUCCUGGAGCUCAACUCCAGAACUGCCUUUGAUACUGAAGAUCUUGAGUUCGGGAGAGGUGAGUGGAACUUCGAGUGUAGAGGUGAAAUUCGUAGAUAUUCGCAAGAACACCAGUGGCGAAGGCGGCUCACUGGCCCGAUACUGACGCUGAGGCACGAAAGCGUGGGGAGCAAACAGG